AAAGCCAUCUUCCUCAAAAUUUCAAAAUCCCUAAACUUUACCCCUCCAUCUCCACCGUCCCCCUCCCCACCCACCGCCGACCGCUGCCGCCCACGACCACGCCGAUCACUCCGAGCACGCCGCAUGCCUACCAAGCCGACCAUUUCAGCUUCCCCCUCCCCCACUAACAGCGUUUCAGCUUCUCUCCACCACGAGCACCGCUGAUCUCCACCCACCGCCUACCAGGAACUCCAACGCAUACCCACAGUCAGUCUCUCUCUCUGACUUAUCCAUGGAUUUUCUUGAUUUCUUGCUAUGGGUGGAGUUACCCCCCAUGCAAAUUCCCAUUGACAUUCAACACUAAAGAGGCCUGCUAUCUGCUUGAAGGAAAAGUUAAGGUUACUCCUGAUGGGUCUUCCGAGUCAGUCGAGAUAGGUGCCAGUGAUUUGGUCGAAUUCCCAAUUACUGACUUACUGAAGCCUUUUGCCACACAUUCUAGUGAAUGUUGGAUCAAGUAACCUAUUUGGCACUACUUCUGUGUAAAGUGAUGAAAACAUGGUUUAAAAGUUUUGCUACUAGUUGCUUGUUUUGGAGUAGCUAAAAUCUCUCCCAUACAAUAUGUUUUUUGUGUAUGUUUCUGGUGUACAGUGGUUAUUAAUGGUGUAUUUCCUGAAUUUACUUUGGCAUUAAAUUUCCAGUUUGACU